rnacentral:rRNA from 1 species
CUUGCUUCUCUUGAGAGCGGCGGACGGGUGAGUAAUGCCUAGGAAUCUGCCUGGUAGUGGGGGAUAACGUUCGGAAACGGACGCUAAUACCGCAUACGUCCUACGGGAGAAAGCAGGGGACCUUCGGGCCUUGCGCUAUCAGAUGAGCCUAGGUCGGAUUAGCUAGUUGGUGGGGUAAUGGCUCACCAAGGCGACGAUCCGUAACUGGUCUGAGAGGAUGAUCAGUCACACUGGAACUGAGACACGGUCCAGACUCCUACGGGAGGCAGCAGUGGGGAAUAUUGGACAAUGGGCGAAAGCCUGAUCCAGCCAUGCCGCGUGUGUGAAGAAGGUCUUCGGAUUGUAAAGCACUUUAAGUUGGGAGGAAGGGUUGUAGAUUAAUACUCUGCAAUUUUGACGUUACCGACAGAAUAAGCACCGGCUAACUCUGUGCCAGCAGCCGCGGUAAUACAGAGGGUGCAAGCGUUAAUCGGAAUUACUGGGCGUAAAGCGCGCGUAGGUGGUUUGUUAAGUUGGAUGUGAAAUCCCCGGGCUCAACCUGGGAACUGCAUUCAAAACUGACUGACUAGAGUAUGGUAGAGGGUGGUGGAAUUUCCUGUGUAGCGGUGAAAUGCGUAGAUAUAGGAAGGAACACCAGUGGCGAAGGCGACCACCUGGACUAAUACUGACACUGAGGUGCGAAAGCGUGGGGAGCAAACAGGAUUAGAUACCCUGGUAGUCCACGCCGUAAACGAUGUCAACUAGCCGUUGGGAAGCCUUGAGCUUUUAGUGGCGCAGCUAACGCAUUUA